UACGGAGGGUGCAAGCGUUAUCCGGAUUCACUGGGUUUAAAGGGUGCGUAGGUGGGUCUGUCAGUCAGUGGUGAAAUCUCCGAGCUUAACUUGGAAACUGCCAUUGAUACUAUAGAUCUUGAAUACCGUGGAGGUCAGCGGAAUAUGUCAUGUAGCGGUGAAAUGCUUAGAUAUGACAUAGAACACCAAUUGCGAAGGCAGCUGGCUACACGAAUAUUGACACUGAUGCACGAAAGCGUGGGGAUCAAACAGG
rnacentral:rRNA from 1 species